AACGAGCAACCAUUCAAAGAAUCGUCGGUAUAGCCUGGUGAAUUGGUGAGCGGAUGUUUUCACCCUUCGGUUCAUUCGAGUGCCUCGUGGGACGAAUUAUUCACGAACGACAUAUUUCGCACUGACUGGAACGAGUGGAACAGACAGUCUGCUGCCUGGGCCGGGCGCCGGGCUACCACCACACGGCGUGAGCAGCGUGAGCGUCACUCACUUGGGUCGUCAGCUGCCGUUUAUAACGCUGUGUCAUCGCGGUACGGUUGCUGAACAGUCAUGAAGCACGUGGUUGCAGUUGCUGCGGUUGGAGCCGGCCUGGCAGUACUGGCUGCACCACUUGCCCUAGGAGCUCUAGGAUUCUCGGCAGCAGGAGUAGGAGCAGGGACCCUUGCGGCUGCGUGGCACAGCGCCAUCGGAGUAGUGGCUAAAGGAAGCGUGUUUUCGCUCCUUCAGAGCUUUGGAGCAGCUGGGAUACCAGCAACUGUCCAAGUUGCAGUUGGUGCAGUGGGUGGAACAGCUGGUGCAGCAGUUGGUGCAGCAAUGGAAGCAGCAGGCUUCGGCUCAGGGAAAAAGAAAACCGAUGAAAGUGAAGAAAGCGAGGAAAAGUGCGAGGAAGAGUGCGAGGAAAAGUGCAAAAAAGCGGUUUAAGGCAUGUGUGGUCUGUAGCCUCUUUUUUUUUUUUUUUUUUUUUAUGAUGGACUGACCUGUAACCACAUAAGUCACAGGUCGCUGUCCGAACGCUACUGUGUACUGCAGUAAAGGCAGAUAAAUCUUGAGUAGACAAGAUGGGAGGUCAAACAGAAACCUUC